rnacentral:rRNA from 1 species
ACGGAGGCAGCAGUGAGGAAUAUUGGUCAAUGGGCGAGAGCCUGAACCAGCCAAGUCGCGUGAAGGAUGAAGGUUCUAUGGAUUGUAAACUUCUUUUGUCUGAGGGUAAAGUGAGAGAUGCGUCUCUUAUUGCAAGUAUCAGACGAAUAAGCAUCGGCUAACUCCGUGCCAGCAGCCGCGGUAAUACGGAGGAUGCGAGCGUUAUCCGGAUUUAUUGGGUUUAAAGGGUGCGUAGGCGGAUGAUUAAGUCAGUGGUGAAAGCGUGCGGCUCAACCGUACCGAGCCAUUGAAACUGGUUGUCUUGAGUGUAAACGAGGUAGGCGGAAUGUGACGUGUAGCGGUGAAAUGCUUAGAUAUGUCACAGAACCCCGAUUGCGAAGGCAGCUUACCAGCAUACGACUGACGCUGAUGCACGAAAGCGUGGGUAUCAAACAGGAUUAGAUACCCUGGUA